rnacentral:rRNA from 1 species
AUUGAACGCUGGCGGCAUGCCUUACACAUGCAAGUCGAACGGCAGCACGGGUGCUUGCACCUGGUGGCGAGUGGCGAACGGGUGAGUAAUACAUCGGAACAUGUCCUGUAGUGGGGGAUAGCCCGGCGAAAGCCGGAUUAAUACCGCAUACGAUCUACGGAUGAGAGCGGGGGACCUUCAGGCCUCGCGCUAUAGGGUUGGCCGAUGGCGUAUUAGCUAGUGGGUGGGGGAAAGGCCUACCAAGGCGACGAUCAGGAGCGGGUCUGAGAGGAAGACCAGCCCCACUAGGACUGAGCCCCGGCCCCGGCUACGUAGGGAAGCCCCAGAGUGGCAUUUUGGACAAAAGGAGGAAGCCUUAUACAAAAAAGCCGGGCGUGCUAAGGAAGCCUUCCGGUUGGAAAGCACUUUUUACCGGAAAGAAAUCCUUGGCCCUAAUACGGUCCGGGGAUGACGGUACCGGAAGAAUAAGCACCGGCUAACUACGUG